AUUGAACGCUGGCGGCAGGCCUAACACAUGCAAGUCGAGCGGAUGAAGGGAGCUUGCUCCUGGAUUCAGCGGCGGACGGGUGAGUAAUGCCUAGGAAUCUGCCUGGUAGUGGGGGAUAACGUCCGGAAACGGGCGCUAAUACCGCAUACGUCCUGCGGGAGAAAGUGGGGGAUCUUCGGACCUCACGCUAUCAGAUGAGCCUAGGUCGGAUUAGCUAGUUGGUGGGGUAAAGGCCUACCAAGGCGACGAUCCGUAACUGGUCUGAGAGGAUGAUUAGUCACACUAGAACUGAGACACGGUCCAGACGCCUACGGGAGGCAGCAGUGGGGAAUAUUGGACAAUGGGCGAAAGACUGAUCCAGCCAUGCCGCGUGUGUGAAGAAGGUCUUCGGAUUGUAGAGCACUUUAAGUUGGGAGGAAGGGCAGUAAGUUAAUACCUUGCUGUUUUGACGUUACCAACAGAAUAAGCACCGGCUAACUUCGUG
rnacentral:rRNA from 1 species